rnacentral:lncRNA from 1 species
CAGGACCACGCCGCCGCCGCCAUCGCGCGCGACUCGGCCGCCGUCUUCGCAUGGAAGGGGGAGACGCUCGAGGAGUACUGGUGGUGCACGGAGCGAUGCCUCGACUGGGGCGUCGGCGGUGGGCCCGACCUCAUCGUCGACGACGGCGGUGACGCCACGCUGCUCAUCCAUGAGGGUGUUAAGGCCGAGGAGGAGUUCGAGAAGUCCGGCAAGAUCCCCGACCCGGAGUCCACCGACAACCCCGAGUUCAAGAUCGUGCUCACCAUCAUCCGUGAUGGGCUCAAGACCGACGCCAGGAAGUACCGCAAGAUGAAGGAGAGGCUCGUCGGUGUCUCUGAGG